UGAAACACUUUAUUUUUUGUUUGCAUUUGUUUUUUGCAUUGAUUUCUAUGUUGUAGUUUAGUUAUUUUAUAUUGUUUUCAUUAUUGUGCAAUAUUGAUAUCAAUUCAGACAAUGCCAUCAUGUUUGUUUUUUUGAUUAUCACAAGAAUGUAAAAUUGUUUGAUCUAGAUCACCAUAAUAAUGGACAAGCUUUCAGUUUCUCCAGAACUUUUCAUUAUUUCAAUCAAUCAGUCCUAGUAUUCAGUGUACAUGUACCAAUGCCUUGUCAAGCCAAGCUUCCGUAACUAUAACUUUUGUUGCUACUGUUUGCCAAUGAUGUACCUCUCUGGUUUUCAGAUUUUUGGCUGCCAUUUUGUCAUGUUGUAAAUUUUGAAUUUACCGGGUAAAUUUUGUAUUUACUGCUACCCAGUAAAUUCAAAAUUUACAACCUGACAAUUUCACAACUUUUGCAUUCCAAGCAGGCUAGCAGUAGCGUUUCUGAAACAAAUCUAGUUUUAAAUCCUGUUUUCCACUUUCUCAAACUUUCUAGUCAAAUCAGAUAUUUGAUGUGUACAUAAGUUUGUGAAACAUUUAUAUUUCAUAGCAUUCAUCAAGUGGGAUUUAAUAUCUCGAAAUCCUGUUAUGAUUUUUCAACUCAUUUGUGUUUUUCUUUCUAACCCAAUUACUUUUUGUUCUUUUAUAUUGUACUAUUAUUGUGUUCACUAAUAAAAUUUUUACAAUUUG
rnacentral:misc_RNA from 1 species